AGAAUCUACACAUGCUGAAAUAAAGGGGAGGUGGGGGUAUAAUCAGAGCACUGCAUCCCAUGUGGUGUCCAAUUGCACUAGUAUCAGAGGUUCGUACACUGGAAGAAAUAGUGUCAACACUGAAAAUGGUCUAAGCAAUACUGCUUUGAGUUUUGCUAACAUAGCGUGUUAAUUUAAGAGGGCUUACAGUAAGUACAAAUAUUGGCUAAUUACGUCUUAUUAAGCAGAAAAUAGGCGGAGGCUUUCCAGAGAUCAAAAUGGAGUAUACUGCUUCAUAUAGUGGAAAUAUAUGGGGAAAUAGAUGGAAAUGUGUCUGUGAAGUUAAGUUCACUGAUUUAUCUACCUCUCAGUCAGCCUUACUCUUUCCCUCUACCCUCCUCCCAUUUUGCUUUUGUUUCCAGCAUAAGUCCCCAGAUGGAGACUUUUUUGAGGGCUGGGGAGGGGCAGAUAUGACAAAUUGCUUAAUUAAAAAAAUAAAAAAUAAAUCUAAAGAGGUCUGAUUCUCUUGCAAGAUAAUCCUUGUCUGAAAAGAAUUUUCAACAAAAGUGCAUUGUACCCACAGAGGUAAAUCUUUUGGUUUUCCUUGUGCUAGAUAAAGAUAAUUAGUCACUGGCCUGAAACUUGAUAGUAGACUGCCUGUAGCAGCAUGAUGUUCAGUAGGGGCAAAUGGAAGACACUGCUGACAAGUUGAACAUAUUUUCAAAAAAAAACUUUGUGGAACUGAGAGAAAGAAAAAAAAAAAAAGUAGGUAGAAGAAUGAUUAUUAACUUAGAUUAUAAUUCUUAUUACUUAGAAACUUAGAAAAUUACUGAGAAACAAAUGUAUUUGAUAGUUAUUUAAAGCUGAUUUAUUAAUUGGUACAACUGAAGAGAGAAAGAGCAGUUGAGUUAAAAAGAAGUAAACCAGAACCAAAAGUGGAUCUGAAGUCACCCCCAAAGUUGCAACAGUCACCCUCAUUCAAGUUUUCUGUAUUAGGUGAAAUUCAGAGCACAUCACAAAAGAGCCUGAAUUCCCUACUGAAGGAGAUAGAUUCUUCUAGAGAAUGGCUCAGAUGCCAGACAUUAGACUGUAUUUUAGUGUCUCUCAGAAAAUUGCUUCCAGUCAUCAAGAGCAAUAUUCAAGUGAAAUUAGCUGUGCACCAAUAAGAGAAAGAAAAAAGUAGGGAGCUUUAAUAACAGGGAACCUAUGUAAAAAGCAGCAGGAGGUGGAUAAGAAGGGGGCAGCUUGAUUUAUGUCAUAAGCAAUAAUAUGACUACUUUGACACAAUGCUUAAAGGAGUACUAGAAAAGGAAAUAGAUGCAUGACAGAUGAAGAUGAUAAGAUGAUCAACAGUCACAUAGAAAAGAUAGACUUACUCUGCUUUUAUUUGUAUUUGGAAGGCAGAAGCUGAUGUGCAUAUAUGCCUUCUUUCCACUCACAACAACAACAUAAAAAGAAUACAUUAGAACACUCUGACUUGGAAUGAGUAUUUUGAAAAUCAGCAGGCUUAGAUAACUUGUAGUCAAGAGACCUACAGAGAUGGUAGAGAAGAUCCUGGCCUAGAAAUACUCAUUUUCAGUGAGUCUUGAAACACUGGAAGGACCCAGGAACAAUGCACAGCGUUCAGCGAACGUCCCAGUGGGUCACAAGGACGCUUGACAGCACUGCAGCUUAGUUUGCCUGACAAGGGAUCCUAGGCCAAAAAAUGGGAAAACAAGCAGAAGAAUGAGUUGUUAAUGAAAUUAGAUGGAAACACAGUCACUAGAAGUCUGCACUGUUUUACAGCAUAGCAUUCUUGUAAGACUAAUGAUAUACAAUGUCUGUGUAGUUCCUUCCAAAGGGAUUAACACAGGGCUUGAAGCCACAACAAAGAGCUCAUUAGAUGGUUCCCUUCAGAUGGCCAUCCACAUGCAGCAGGCUGUUCAGUGUUGCUUAGGUAUGACCAGACUGAGCCAACAAGAUGGCAUUUGGACCACAGUGUCUCCGUCAUCAGAUGUGGGUCACAGGUAAGACUGAGGGAGCAGUGAUCUUGCCACAUUGGCAAGGAACUGCUCAGGUUAGAAAUGUGUGACUGAUCUAUGCUGUAGAAAGAGGUGAAAACCUCACAAAGGUCUUUGACAAUUUGACCUUAUGAAGCUCAGACAGAUGACCAGUGUGAAUUUGAGCACUGUGAGCAAGAGACACCAGCAAAGCACUGAAGGGAGUAGGACCUCAUUAUCAACUGUAAAUCAGGUCAGCUUCUGACAGGGACAGAAAAAAAAAAAUAAUAAUAAUAAGAUUGUAAAAACAGUUUACUACCCCAAUCCAGUUUGAGCAGGGAUGUGAUUUUAUCCCUGUGUACAGUACUAGGGAGAUUGUUUCAAUGGCCACAGUUUUAGAAGGUUGUUGAAAUACCAGAGUGGGUGCAGAAAACAGCCACAAAAAAUUAUGCAAGGUCUAGAGAAAAAUGCCAUAGCAGAGAUUUGGAGAAGUCAGUUGGUUGAGUGUAAUAAAAAGUUGUAAAAAAUGAGUAGUGACUCGCUUACAGAGGAUGUCUCCCUCCUGAGGGAAAUUAUCAUGAACUAAAAAGCUCUUAAUCUAGCAGAGAAAUGUGCAACAAAAGCCAACAGCUGAAAGCGGAAGCCUGAAAAAUUCAAAUAAGAAAAUAAUCAGAAAUGUUUAACAGUGAGAGUAAGCAUUAAAACAAAUUGUCAAAGAAAGUGGUGGAUUCUUCAUGUCAAGUUAUCAUCACAUCAGAGCUCCAGGCCUUUCUAAAUGACAAGCUUCUGUUAGAAAAGCCAUUGGUCUCCUUAUGAGAAUAACUGUCCAAAACCUAAUAGCCUAUUCUAAGGACUGAAACUUAACUGGGUUCAGGAGCCUCAAACCAGAGGAGUUGCUGGUCUCUCUGGCCCUCGUACUGUGGUUCUAGGAGACUCAUAUGGGUUAGUUUAAUUUUUUUUUUCUUAUCUACCAGCCUUAUUUGUCAUCUCUUUCAUAAUCAUCCACUUCCUGCAGCUAUCACCUGCUGGGACUCUGCAGUAGGCGAAGAACUUUUUCUGCAUGUCUGGAGAUGCAAAUCCUCUGCUCGGUGAAUCUCUCCAGAAAUGUACCCUGCAAUAGCAGGGGCUUUUCUUUUCUCAUACAUUUCAAUUUUUCCUGGAAAAAGGACAGUUUCUCUCUUACUGUCUGUCUCUCUUUCUCUCUCUUUUUUUCUCUUUCUCUCUUUCUCUCUCCAUCUCCAGCCACAAUUGCCAAGUCUCCUGGAAAAUAUUUUCUAGCUUCUGGAAUGGAUUAUUAUCCCUGCUUGGUGCAGAUCUUCUGUACUCUAUUUCUCUGGGUGGUUUUCAGAGCCUCUUGGGGCCCACUAUUUCCCAUGGUCUGGCAAAAUCCCUGACCACCACUUGGGACCUUGGUAUGUUUAUUUUAACAUUUAUAGUGCAAAAGGAAAACCCAGAACCAAUCGAUGCCAACCAUUGGUACAGAACAGAAAAUUAAUAUAGACCAAACACAUUUCUAUCCUCUAAAGAAAGAUGUAGAAUAAAGGCCCCACCCUGUGUCAAAUUAAAUAAAGGCCAAAGUUAAAAGUUCUGACUUACGACACAUUCUACAACUGUCCAAACUACAUGGUAAGAAGCAAUAAAUACUAGAGCCAAGGGCUUAAGGGGACGAGUCCUCCUGCCUCGUCCCAGUAGCUCAGGCCCAGAGAUAGACAGCAGGAGCACUCUGGUUUGUUUCAACUAUUGUAAAAAUUUAACAGCCCAAGGGCAGAUCCCAGCUCCUGUUGGAGAGAGCAGGGUUUAGAAGGGACUCAGCUCUAGGAAAGCUGGUGUCGUAAAAAGGCACACAUGACACGGGCCCCAAAGGAACGCUUGUUCUCACCUAGGCGCCUGCUCUUCUGGCACUCCUGUUUUCUUAUUUCCCUACUGCUUCUUGCUGGAGGUGGAUCGUGGGACUGACUUACUGCAUAUUCUUCAUUUUGGUCUUUGCAUCUCUCUCUCUCCCCAGUUUGGGGGAUUUCUCUGCUCUACUAAAAAGAAGGGAGGCAAAGGAGUUCAGUAUCACCAAGACAACUGGGAAAAGCUGCCUUAGACUUCAUUGUAGUGUACAUACCUAGGUUGAAAACAGCUAUCUGUCUCCAUUUGCUUUCCAAGGUCCCUGGCAUUGCUGCUCAUCCCAGAAGGGUUCCUGGGUUGCCAGCACUUAGUUCCAUGGCUCAGACAGUGCCAAAACCAUUGUUUUUUGUGCUGGAGUUAUGUGAUUUCUGUGCCAGAAUCGUGAGUAAACCAUGAAAAAAAUACUAACAUUUUUGUGUAAAUUUAUGUAACUUUUUCCAUGAAGACCCUAUAAAAUGGCAGAAGUCUUUCUUUGUCAUUAACCAUAUGGAAGUGUAUGGCAUAUGUGUGUCUUCUUAAAGGAGCAAGAGUUUGUCCAGAACACGCAUGUUUGCAGACCAGCGAUGUUCUGAAGUACAACACGUAUACAACUCCCACCAAAAGGCCUCUGCAAAGGCCCAGCUAGAGAGAUGAACAUGAAAUUGGUUUUCCAGGCAAACUCCAGUCUACAAGCACAGCUGCGGCUGCUUCCGAGCAGUCACAAAGCAUGGCUACAAUGCCAAUUAGGCUGGGGGCCAAGGACCACAAAAAGACCCAGCAGCCCUUCAGUCCCAACGUGGCACCACUUUUAACCAUGAGUGGAAGGGCUUUCUGUCCUGGAGCAAGAGGUCUGCUGGAUGGGAGAGCUGUAGUCGUCGCCAGCCAUGCGCUCAUGCUCUGGGGCCUGCUGGCUUCACCACUGCCUCUCACCGGGGGCCCCAGCAGUGCUCCCUCUGCUCUCCUACCAGGAAACACUAUUGUACAUGAGAACCCAAACACUUUAUAAAGUGCCUUCAGCCUUAGCAUGCCGAUCAACACUUUGUAAAACACACGGGGAUGGAAACACACGUGCCAAGCCCUUCGAGCAGUGAGACUGAUUAGCGGUUAAAGGUUUGUCCUGAGGAGGAAAUGCUUGCCUUCAUGAAAUGGCGGGCUGCUGUCACUUGUGUUUGAGCAGCCUGUCAUUGCUCAGGAGCCCAGACACAUCCCCUGAAAUCUUCGUGGAUCACCGUGUGUUUCUGAGGUUGGUGGGUGGACACAGCCUAUUGCAGAGCCCAGCAAUACAGAUGCUCAACAAUUAAGCUGUUAGUGGACUCCUACACACUUGUAAGGUACACAAGGCCCAUGCAGUGCCUGCCAAGUUCCUCAAGUAGUAACAGUUCAUGACACUCUUGAGAUAUCUGCCAGAUGCCGACACAGUGUUCUGAAGUUCCUAUUUCAGGACAUAAUUUCAAAAAUACUUCUAGCUCAGGAUUUAGAGUGCCAAAAAACAUUUGUGUAUGAAUUGUAAUGUAAACCAUAAACCCAACAGGAAACAUCAGAGCCUUCUCCUUUUGUAGAUAUGAUGUGACUAAGGAGUGUUAGGAAAAUGUUCCUUUAUUGGCAAGAAAACAAAUACAUUUUACUGUCCCAUAUGUGCAAAAUGAAACAACCAAUUAACAUAUAUCUGGCAAGGAAAAUGUAUUUUUACCUUCCAGCAUUGCCCAUACAUCCCAAAUUGUAUAUUGAUUGCAACAUUUAUGAGCAUUGCACAGGGGGCAGAUGGUGAACACUCUGCUAAGCACUGAGUUUGGCUGACAAGGAGGCACUGCAGUUUUAGUAACUGAAUCAGCAAUUUGCUCAGCCUGAAUUUGCUCAUGUUUCUUGAGCUCAUGCUGGGAAUGCUCAGUGGCCUAGCAAACGCUUUAACCUAGCUGCUUUCGUAUCAUCAGCUGGCUGGCAUAGUCACUCUCGUAGUACUAGUAUAAUUCUUAUCCUUUCAGUAGAUGCCAGAAUUAAUUGCAAUGAAAAAGCAAUCCCAAGAAGACACACUUGUCUGCUUUGCCUAAUAUAAGAUAUAUCUUUGCAGGUUUAUGUUCAAUAAAAAAUAAUUGUGUAUGUUUAUUUUGAAAUAUUUUUGGCACAUUGGAACUUUGAACGUGACUUUAUUUUUUUUCUUAACUAAGAUUCAGUUGAGGAAGUCUUAAGGCUAUCAAGAUGCUAGCCCUGUCCUUCCCAGUAUAUUUUUAAAGGGUAAAUACAUAACAACAACAAUAGGGUGAACAGAAUGCAGUUCCAACCCUUGCAGCAAGCCAUCCUCAAUUCUUGUUCUUACCCUAGCCUCUAGAGCAGAAUAAAGCACACUAUGUUUUUUCUGGGAUAUUGUCCGCUGGCUUGUUGUAACCGCUGCGCAGACUCAACUAUCCACCACUUUGACACACACACACACAUCAUCUCACACCCCCACCCUUCCUACCAAGUUAGUGAAAUUAUCUUUAAGAGGCUGGUGUUCUCUCAAACAUAGUUGAAACCAACUAACAGGGAAACAGGCUAACAGAUGGGCUUUGUGUAAGCCCUUGUUCCUCUGAGCUCUUGCACUGUUAAGUGAAAUUAAAGUGCUCAGGGAGUGGAGUUAUUAUACCUCCUUAACUGUUUUGUUCAAAUGAAUCCAGCAAUACUUGUAAUAGUAUAUUGAAUGUAUUUUAAAACAUUUUGAAGCAAUAGUUUUACAACAGUACAUUGUGAAGCCAAAAAUGAUGAAGUAUCUUCCUGAAAUACCCUACUGUUCUCAGACCUGCUGCACAAGAUCAGCUUUUUACAUUGUGUUAUGCUAACAAGGAGCUUCUAAACAGCCAUUGCACUGCACGGGUAUGUGGGGAACUGUUCUUCAGUAAUUUACAACAGAGGGAAUUUUGCAAUUCUGGAAAAGAGACUAGUAAGUGUAGUUAAAGUGCUCUUUUUUCCCUUUCUCUCUCCACUGUCUCCACACCAGCCUGUUGUGUAACCAGAGAGUUUUCUGAGACCUCUGUUAGCAAGCAGAGUCUAGUGUGCAGGCACCAAUCACCGAUCUUAAUAUUAUGGGAGCUUAGAGGCCUGUGAGUGCAGAACAAAUUGGUUUUAAAAGCAAUAGCAAUUGCUAAAAGGAUUGUAUUACAAUAAUAGACUUGAAAGCUUAUACUCCAAGCAAUGCUGCGGAUGAGAGCCAGCGAUAGAGACAAAGUACUUUGCGAGCUGCUAGGAGCAGAGCAGGUCCUGAUUAUUGCACUGACAGAGGUGGGUUGUGGGGCAGCUGACUCCCCAUUGAAGUCAGGUCUUUCAAGCCACCCAUGACUACUGUGGGACUCAGAAAGGGCACAGGAGCAGCACUAUUGAUCACAGGCUGGAUGAGGGAAGGAGGAGAGUCUGUAUUUGCAUAUUCAAAGUGUUCUGUGCUGACUAACCUGGAUGCUGUUGUGAUAAAUAAAGCAAAUGAAAAAAUGAAGAAGGGAGCCCCAGGUAAUGAGAACUCUAAAGAGAGCUGCAUCACCUUGACAGAAGGCACCAAAAGCUAUUCAAACAAGAGUCAAGUGGCUGGAUAACUUUGAAGAUCUCAACCACAGUCUGAAGAGACAGAAAGGGAGCUGGCAGCCUACUAAGCUGCUGCUUGACAGACCACUUUUCAUCCAUUUUGAGAGGAAGCCUCAAAGGCUGAACUCAGUAUUUUUCAGGAUGCUCAUGCUGUUGGGAAUUUCUUCUGCUUUUAUUUACCACAUCAUAAUAUUUAAAUUCUGAUUUAGAUGUGGUUUAUGCAUUGGAAGUAACUUGAAAUGCUAGAGGUUCCUUUGCCUGGCUGCCUAAACACAGCAACACCUUGUUUGGCAGACUGAAGGAAGGAUUAAAAGUGUUUUGGCUGUAAGUCCCGACCAGGGUCAAAUCAAGACCUUGAUUUCCUUUAACACAAACUCCUCAUUAGGACCACACUUUAGCAGCAAUGGUUUAUGCCUCUAAAACAGAAGAGUUAUUAUUAGCAAAAGCCAAAACCUAUUCAGUCAGUCAGAUUUGGUUUGGGGAUGUUAUGGAUGGCAUGUAAAAUGAAGUACUAAUGACUGACAAAAUAGCACAGUAAUGAAAUUCUAUUCACAAAUUCAUGCUCACUAGUUUCCAAAUUAUUGUCAAUGGCAACUUCUUUCUGGACAUCAAUGGGCAGGAACGGAGAGGCAGAAAAACAUCAUGAAUCACUAAAUUAAAUGCUAGUGUGUGAACACAAGCAUACAUGCAUGCACAUACAUAUAUGUGCAUAUUAUUUUUACAAGUGAGAUAACUCCCUGUCUGUUCUAAGUGUUGCUUUUCUGCUGCUCCAUCUGUACAAAGGGUUCCUAAGGCUGAAGACAAAGUGAGGCGCAAGGGAGCAUAUCGCUCAAGAGAGGCGUACAAAUCAUGAAGACACAUACAGUGUGGGCAGUUUGAGCUGGCUCACAGGCAGCAUAAGAUGAGUCUGUCUCGUGGUGGAUGCCACUUUGUGCUCUAUCCCAUGGCUUUAGUAUUUUACAAACAUCCUGCUGGCUCUCAAAUGGUUGUAGCGAUGGUUUUGAAAACGUAAGCCGAAGAUAAGCAACUCAAAGGUGUCUGCUCGUGUCCACAGGCAGGCAGAGCAAGAUCCUCAAAGAUCUGAACUUUUGCCAUUCAUCUUAAUGGUGUGUUAUUACUAAAGUCAUGCAGCAAAAUACAGUUUAGUGUUGUUAACUAUUUUGUUGCUGGAUAAAAUUUGCGAGGGAAAACUAGAGUGACAAAUAAUAGGUAGAUAUACACUACCAUCUCACUGCCAUCUCCUUUGGCCUCACACCAUAGCAACAUUUUUAUCUAAGCUUGUAUUUGCAUUAUAAAGGACAGUCUUGAAAUUAUUUCAUCAUUAAGCUGGUUGAUAUUCUGACUGUUCUGCUGCUUACCUGACAACCUGCCUUUACAUCAAGCUUAACACUACUGUGACCGUGAGAUCAUAAAAUCUACACUCCUGAGGAAAGCAAGGAAGGCAAAUCUCAUGGCAGCAAAGAUCAGCAAGAGUCAUGCAAGUAAGUGAAGAAAAAAGGUUGAUAUGUGCUUUGUACGGUGUUGUUAUUGGUAAUUCUGAAAGUUUUGGGACAGAUUCUGUCAUCUAUUUCACUGGAAGAAGCAAACUUCUCUUCCCCAACUGAACAGAACGUGCAGAUCUUUGAAGGCUGUGAUGGGACUCCAAGCUGACUAGAACUUUGCAGUAGAUCUGCCAAUUUUUUUUCUUCUUAAGUUGGGCACUCCCAAGACUGCAAAAGAGCUUUUAAACUCAAACCCAUUUUAUUGUAACAGAAAUUAGAUCCUGUAGCUUUUUAAACAGAUAAAACUUAGCGUGAGACAAAACAGAAGAAAAAGCAUUUAGAAACUGAAUUCCUUCUUGCCCACUAUGUCCUGGCAGAAAAGGUCCUUUUUUUCAGGCUUCCUCUCAGUUCAGCAGCUCAGGAACUUUCUGUAUUGCAACAAAAACUCCUCUGAGAAGAUCUCUGAGACUCUAGGAAAUAUCUUUUGCCCCAUCACUGAGGCCUGGCUGUGUGUCUGCUCUUCUCAGCAGUUUGCCAGCCUUUGCCUAUGAUGCAGGCAGGCUCUGUGCCUGCUGAGUUCUCCUCAUACUCUCAGUGUGAGAUCUCCCACGUUACUCGGUGAUUCGUUAUUUUAAUGUGAUUGCUCUUUAAUUGGAUUCUUAGGUUAUACAGUAUCUAAAAAAUUCACCUGAAAAAUGAAAGAGGCUGAUAAGAGGGGAGAUAUCUGCUGGGUGAGGGGAGGAGGUGUUAAAAGAUGUAAACUGUCAGAGGAAGUUCAUUUUAAGACGAGCUUGGCACCGAAUGUAUGUGGUGAAAGAACACCAUGAAGAAAAGUCUCUGGCCAAGUCUUUGGGGUUGGUUUCUUUGUUGUUUUUUUUCUUUAGCUUUAGUGCUUAAUCCCAUAUAAAUUGCAUGCGGCAUUACUGGAAGAACUGGCUGGCAGAGAAGAUCGGUAUGGCUGUCAGAAAAGGACAAAAUACUGAAGAUCUGCAGAAGGGGCUAGAGGGCACAAGGUAAGAAAAGCUACAAGAGGUACAAAAGCAUAAAGUAUUGUCAGAAAGAGAAACUUGAAUGAAGAGAGAUGAUCUUGAAUGAUAAGUUUGUUUUGUAGUAACAUUGAAAAUACAGUAAGAAAUUUCAAUCUAUAUUGCACACAGACUCUUCAAGAAAGGUGAUUUUUAUGUAGGAAAUAAAUUUUCUGGACUGUCCACACAGAAAAUGGUGCAGACAUUGUAGUCGCUGCACCCUGGGCCUCAGGCAGCCGUGCAAAGAGAGCCCCAGCCCAACCCACAGUCCUCAGCAGAUGCAGAUCUGUGGCUGUGCAUCUGCCAGAGAAGAUGCCCCACCACCAGGGCUGUGGAGGUGAGACAGAGACCUGGUCACACUUUGGAGACAGUCGGCUGCUGGCAGUUUAUGACAGGGGAUGAUCCGGGUGCAAAGGGGGAGUCCCCAGCACGUUCAUCACAGUAACAGGUUGAAGUCCCAGAGAGGCCAGUGUCACACCACAGCUAUGUGCGUAGGAAGCUCUGAGAGCUGCUCCCUAAUGAGCCCACAGCGUGCCAGUCUUUGGAUUGGCAUGAGCCAACCAUUCGGGUUUUAAUCUCUUCCUCUGCACGCAUAGUGACUAUUCAUGAGAGGAUUACUGUGAAGUGCCCUGAAACUAAAUGGCAUGUUUAGGAUCUCAUGGCUAUGUGAAUAAAAGCUGCAGGCAAGCUUGGAUAGCACAAGCAAUGUUCACAUUUUCCAUAAAGAUCAAAUGCCUUGAAGAUCAAGUACUCAGUGUCAAGCUCUUGCUCCCAUGUACCCAAACUCAAAAUGCAACAUCAGUUUUAAAAGUUCAGUUGCCACUGCCAGUAUGUAAAUGAAAUACCUCGUAUGGGUGUCACCUCUUCAAGAUCACCUUGUUCUUAUAGAUCAGGAAGUCCAGCAGUGGGAGCAGGUAAUCACAUCGGCUGAGACAAGCCAGUAUCUUCUGCAGAUCUGAUUUUUUAAAAUGUUGUAAACAAGCAUGUGCCUGCCUGGAUUUACCCUGUAAGACAAUAUAAUACCCAGCUAUGUAACUGCAGGGUUAUUGCUUGCCAGAAUAAGACUCCUGUAAAGAUGAAGUUUUGCAGGUACUUCAGGCUCACCAUCGUCUCCAGAGCCUAUUUUGCAGUGCUUCACAGUUAAGGUUACACAGAUGCACUCAGCAAAACCAGAUCCCUUCCACUUGGGGUGAGGGGAGCAGAGACACAGCAGCUAACUGCCAGCCUAAAGAGAGAGGAAAGUGAGUCACGGUCAUGAAAUAGGUCACUUCCACUCCGUGUGAACUCGCUUCUCUAGCACUCAGGUUGGUUUCUGUAAUAGGGAACGGUCUGGGUUUGAGCACGCUUCUGGGCUUGCUGCUUCUGCUCCAGAUAAAUGGGAAAAUGUAAGGAAAUAAUUGCUGUUUAAAAAAUGGAUAUUUCCAGCUGAUGAAUAUAUGACUGUGGAUUCUAGUGAAAUUAUUCUAACUUCCACUGAUUGAACAUGUGGUUUAGUUUUGUUUCAUGCAUCUAUGUAGCUUUUUUUUUUAAAAAAAAAAAAAAAAAAAAAAAAAGCUCUAUAGCAGCUGCACUGGCUUCUGCUAAUAUUUGCUUCCCUAACAGAAAAACCUAAGCACUUCAGUAAAAGAUGAAAACCCUUUUCUUUAUUUUUAUUUCAAAUCAUGUCUUUGAAAUGCAAGUUUCUUCUGGAAGAUAGAACACAAGCUUAUCUAUAGCGAGUGGGAGGUUGUGUUGUUAGACCUUCUUUCAGGAAGCCUCUUUGACCCCACACAGGAUAUUUUACAACGUUUGAAGAUUUAGCGAUGAUAGCAAUAUUUUUUCCAGGAAAUUUCUCAAAGAAGAGGGAGGGGUAUCAUUAUGGUCGUUGUUUUGUUGCAGCAGAUAGACCGCCGUCUGGAGACACUGUCCUUGCUGGAAAAUUGAUUAAGGUUCAGUUUGAAAAAUAGGCACUUCCUCUGCUUUCAGUUACCAUAUUAGGUUUUCAAAAAGGGGAAAAAAAAAAAAAAAAAAAAAAAAAAAUAAAGACCUUGUUUCUCAUGUUCCUGUUACUUCCCUAUGUCACAACCACUUACUGAACGUGAAGCAAGCUGCUGCUGCUUUUUUACCCCCCCCCCCCCCCCCCAGGAAACAGUUGCUUUAGGACUGAUUCUGGUAACCUGAUACCUCUUGAUGUAUUUUUGCUGGAAUAUGGAGCCUACAUAAAUUGCACCAUAAGCAAAUUUCUUUAUAAUGGAAGGAUCAGGAAGCUGCAGCUUGGCAGGCCAUUUCAUUGGUGUGGUUUUUUUAAGGUGGAUUUUCCAGUCACUUUUUAACAGAUGAUAUUGCAGACUUUUGCAAAAGGUAUUAGGAAUAUGCAGUUGUCACUGUUUGGACAGAGCGUCCCACCUGUAGACUAAGUGCUAUACAUUCAGAAAAGAUGCUGUCUGCCUGCCAGCUACCAUUCUGCAACUGAAAGAAAAAUUGUUGUUAUUUACUGAAUGUGCCUAUUUAUUACCAGUGUCACAUGAAUCCAAAGACCCAUGCUGAAAGCAACUCCCAUCUUCACACGGUCUCAAGUACAGAAAACAAGUUAGUCCCUUCCUGCAGAUGGGAACUUGGAAAGAAAAGGAAAAAAAAAAAAUAGAAAAAGAUGCAUCUCACUGAAACAUCCUUCCUUUCUGACUGGGACACAGUAGGUGGUACAGGGACUUCUUUGGAUACAGGAUGGGGAGAUGUUGGUGACUCUGCAGUGCAGCAUGGUGCAGGAGGGGGUCCGUCCAGCACUAAUCCCGUAAAGGAGCUGAAACAGAGCUUCAGGCAGGAGCAUUUCUUCUCUCAUCUGUUACGGCUAGAGCGAGAUUAACCAAACCAGCUGGAUCCACUGCAUGCUGAGUGCAGCCCGGGACUCCCCUGCAGUUUGACCCUGCUGUCCUUCCCCAGUAAACCAAGCCUGUACUCCAA